CCUACGGGAGGCUGCAGUGAGGAAUAUUGGUCAAUGGGCGGGAGUCUGAACCAGCCAUGCCGCGUGAAGGCGAGUGCCCUACGGGCGUUAAACUUCUUUUUUGCGGGAGCAAUAAGGGCCACGCGUGGCCCGAUGAGAGUACUGCCCGAAUAAGCAUCGGCUAACUCCGUGCCAGCAGCCGCGGUAAUACGGGGGAUGCGAGCGUUAUCCGGCUUUAUUGGGGUUAAUGGGUGCGUAGGCGGCCCUCCAGGUCAGCGGUGAAAUACCGGGGCUCAACCCCGGGGCUGCCGUUGAAACCGGAGCGCUAGAAUGCCGAUGCCGUCGGAGGAAUGUGUGGUGUAGCGGUGAAAUGCAUAGAUAUCACACAGAACACCGAUUGCGAAGGCAUCUGACGAAUCGGAGAUUGACGCUGAGGCACGAAAGCGUGGGUAUCGAACAGGAUUAGAUACCCGUGUAGUC
rnacentral:rRNA from 1 species